AACGUCGAUAUUCGACGUCAUAAACACGAUCAACUUUGGUGUUUAUGACGUCGAUAUUCGACGUCAUAAACACGAUCAACUUUGGUGUUUAUGACGUCGAUAUUCGACGUAAUAAACACGAUCAACUUUGGUGUUGAUGAAGUCGAUAUUCGACGUCAUAAACACGACCAACUUUGGGGUUUAAGACGUUGAUAUUCGACGUCAUAAACACGAUCAACUUUGGUGUUUAUGACGUCGAUAUUCGACUUC
rnacentral:miRNA from 1 species